AGUGAAAACAGUGGCUUGGCUUCAGACUAUCAGCAGUAUGAUAAAGAUGAGUAUUCUUUGUUUCAUUUCUCUAACUGGGCUUGUGCUGUUAGUGAUUGGCAAAAAGGAAAAUGUGUCCAAGUUUGAGAAUGCUUUGGAUGCUGAACUUCCUAAUGCCUCGCAAACUGUAGAAGCCAUUCUCCAAGGAUGUUUUGCAUACAGAGGAAUAUUCAUCGUGAUCAACAUAGCAGGUAUAUCUAUUUAUAUUUUAAAAAUAACAGCAUUAUAAACAUUUCCAGAGCCUAUGGUGAAAAUUAAAUCUGAUUGCUAUGUUUUU
rnacentral:lncRNA from 1 species